UAAAGGAUUUAUUCCUCCCUUGGUUCAUCCAACUGUAGAGGAGGGUUGCAAUGAAUACCACAAUAACAGACAUGAUGUUCUGACCAAACAUCUUUAUGAGGUGAGCAGAAGAUCUCCUAAAACGUUAAUUGCCUCAAUUCUUCACACAAC